GAUGAAGAACGUAGCGAAAUGCGAUAAGUAGUGUGAAUUGCAGAAUUCAGUGAAUCAUCGAAUCUUUGAACGCACAUUGCGCCCUUUGGUAUUCCUUAGGGCAUGCCUGUUCGAGUGUCAUUUAAACCUUCAAGCCCUGCUUGGUGUUGGGUGCCUGUCCCGCCCCCGCGCGUGGACUCACCUCAAAUCCAUUGGCGGCCCCCGCAAGGCCACGAGCGCAGCAGAAACGCAAACUCGUGUGCCCGGCGGGCGGCUCCCAGAAGCUACACCCACCAUUUUGACCUCGGAUCAGGUAGGGAUACUCGCUGAACUUAAGCAUAUCAAUAAGCGGAGGA
rnacentral:misc_RNA from 1 species